GGACUGGUGGUUCAGUGGUAGAAUUCUUGCCUUCCAUGCAAGAGACCCAGGUUUGAUUCCUUGCUAGUGCU
rnacentral:tRNA from 1 species